rnacentral:rRNA from 1 species
AGCUUGCUCCCUGAUGUUAGCGGCGGACGGGUGAGUAACACGUGGGUAACCUGCCUGUAAGACUGGGAUAACUCCGGGAAACCGGGGCUAAUACCGGAUGGUUGUCUGAACCGCAUGGUUCAGACAUAAAAGGUGGCUUCGGCUACCACUUACAGAUGGACCCGCGGCGCAUUAGCUAGUUGGUGAGGUAACGGCUCACCAAGGCGACGAUGCGUAGCCGACCUGAGAGGGUGAUCGGCCACACUGGGACUGAGACACGGCCCAGACUCCUACGGGAGGCAGCAGUAGGGAAUCUUCCGCAAUGGACGAAAGUCUGACGGAGCAACGCCGCGUGAGUGAUGAAGGUUUUCGGAUCGUAAAGCUCUGUUGUUAGGGAAGAACAAGUGCCGUUCAAAUAGGGCGGCACCUUGACGGUACCUAACCAGAAAGCCACGGCUAACUACGUGCCAGCAGCCGCGGUAAUACGUAGGUGGCAAGCGUUGUCCGGAAUUAUUGGGCGUAAAGGGCUCGCAGGCGGUUUCUUAAGUCUGAUGUGAAAGCCCCCGGCUCAACCGGGGAGGGUCAUUGGAAACUGGGGAACUUGAGUGCAGAAGAGGAGAGUGGAAUUCCACGUGUAGCGG